CCUACGGGGGGCAGCAGUGGGGGAUAUUGCACAAUGGGGGAAACCCUGAUGCAGCGACGCCGCGUGAGUGAAGAAGUAUUUCGGUAUGUAAAGCUCUAUCAGCAGGGAAGAAAAUGACAGUACCUGACCAAGAAGCCACUGCUAACUACGUGCCAGCAGCCGGGGGAAUACGUAGGGUGCAAGCGUUAUCCGGAUUUACGGGGUGGAAAGGGAGCGUAGACGGUUAUGUAAGUCUCGAGUGAAAGCCCGUGGCUCAACCCCGGGACUGCUUUGGAAACUGUGUAACUAGAGUACUGGAGGGGCAAGCGGAAUUCCUGGUGUAGCGGUGAAAUGCGUAGAUAUAAGGAGGAACACCGGCGGCGAAGGCGGCCUGCUGGACUGAUACUGACGUUGAGGCUCGAAAGCGUGGGGAGCAAACAGGAUUAGAUACCCGAGUAGUC
rnacentral:rRNA from 1 species